rnacentral:siRNA from 1 species
AUGAAGGUGAAGACACUCGGCCU